CACACACACACACACACACACACACACACACAUACACACACACACACACACACACACACACACUCACACACACAUACACUGUUAGUCAUGAUGGGCCUGCCUGGGUUUGCACUGCAGUGCACAUGUGUGUGUUGGUGUGCAUGCCUGCCUAUGGGUGGUAGUGUCUGAGGUAGAAGACUAUGGGUGGUAGUGUCUGAGGUAGAGGACUAUGGGUGGUAGUGUCUGAGGUAGAAGACUAUGGGUGGUAGUGUCUGAGGUAGAGGACUAUGGGUGGUAGUGUCUGAGGUAGAGGACUAUGGGUGGUAGUGUCUGAGGUAGAGGACUAUGGGUGGUGGUGUCUGUCAGGUAGAGGACUAUGGGUGGUAGUGUUUGUCUGGUAGAGGACUAUGGGUAACCAUGCAGUAUACGUUAGGUAACCAUGCAGUAGGUAACCAUGCAGUAUACGUUAGGUAACCAUGCACUAUACGUUAGGUAACCAUGCAGUAUACGUUAGGUAACCAUGCAGUUGGUAACCAUGCAGUAUACGUUAGGUAACCAUGCAGUAGGUAACCACAUAGUGUACAGUAUGGUAACAUGCAGUAUUCAGUAGGUA
ensembl:lncRNA